rnacentral:misc_RNA from 1 species
AACUUUUAGCAAUGGAUCACUUGGCUAUCGCAUCGAUGAAGAACGCAGCGAAAUGCGAGAAGUAUUGUGAAUUGCAGGAUUCAGUGAAUCAUCUAAUCUUUGAACGCACCUUGCACCCUUUGGUAUUCCGAAGGGUAUGCUCGUUUGAGUGUCAUUGUACUCUCACACUCUCUGAUCCUUUGGAUUCAGGGAGCAGUGGACUUGGGUGUUUGCUGCUUUCCUUGUGGCUCACCUCAAAUGCGUCAGUGCACCUCUUGGUUGGACAUAGUACGGCGUGAUAAGUAUCUUCGCCGGCACCUCGCAAGAGGGUGGUCAAUUGGGAGCUCUGUGCUUUCAAACCGUCUUCGGACAAUCUCUGACAACUUGACCUCAAAUCGAGUAGGACUACCCGCUGAACUUAAGCAUAUCAAUAAGCGGAGGC